AAACGAGUUAGAGCUUCAGAAGGGUCUUCAUAAUCUGUUGGGCCAAAUCGUUGAAGCAAGGCUCGUGUGAAUUCUUCCCAAUCUAAUGGUCCUUUUAAUUUGGAUAGCCAUCGGUGCCAUUGUAAAGCAAUGCCUUCAAGAUGGAAAGAGGCAAGCUGCACUUGUUGAUCUGAAGCAAUGUUCUUAAACUCAAAAUAUUGUUCCGCUUUGUAAAUCCAGCCUGUGGGGUCGUCUCUGCCAAACUUGGGGAAGGAGAGCUUGAGAUUAUGGUGGUUGUGGUCAAGGGAAGAGCUGGGACGUUGGGUAUCUGGACGAGCUGGCUGGUGUGAUGAUUCUCCAGAAGCAAAUGGAUUGAUUUCAGUGUUGGGAUGGUUUGAAUUACGAGAAACUCGCAGAGAUUGAAGCUCUGUCAAUAAGGUUUGUAAAAUGGCAUUAACUUGAUCGAAGCUAG
rnacentral:lncRNA from 1 species